GCUACUCUCGCAUGUACGUCACUGCUGAUGUCAUGGAUGUCCGAAACCCACGCAUGAAGCUUUGAUUAACCUUGAAAGAUAGUAAAUAUAGCUUCAUACCUUUUAGCUGAUAAACACUAAUCAACUAAUUUGCUUCGAAAGAACCAAAAUGGGAUGGAUCAUCGAACAAAGUUUUGGACAAUACGUUUUAAAUAAAAACUGAGGAUAAAGACCGACGAAAUUAAAGGGAAGAAUAAAGCUUUUAUUUAUGAAAGUACUUUUAAAUACAAAGGAAAUAAAAUUAACAAUCAAU